UACGGAAGGCAGCAGGGGGAAUAUUGCACAAUGGGCGAAAGCCUGAUGCAGCUAUGCCGCGUGUAUGAAGAAGGCCUUAGGGUUGUAAAGUACUUUCAUCGGGGAGGAAAAAACAAAACUAAUAAUUUUAUUUCUUGACGUUACCCGAAAAAGAAGCACCGGCUAACUCCGUGCCAGCAGCCGCGGUAAUACGGAGGGUGCUAGCGUUAAUCGGAAUUACUGGGCGUAAAGGGCACGCAGGCGGUUAAUUAAGUUGGAUGUGAAAUCCCCGGGCUUAACCUGGGAAUGGCAUUCAAGACUGGUUAGCUAGAGUCUUGUAGAGGGGGUAGAAUUCCAUGUGUAGCGGUGAAAUGCGUAGAGAUGUGGAGGAAUACCGGUGGCGAAGGCGGCCCCUGGACAAAGACUGACGCUCAUGUGCGAAAGCGUGGGGAGCAAACAGGGAUUAGAUACC
rnacentral:rRNA from 1 species